AAGGAAGCAAAAUCAAAUUGAGUCAAUGUAGAAUGCUGUAAUGGAUCUUGGGACAUUGGGUAUUCGCAUUGUCCUCACGGCAAGUGCCAGAAAAUGGUCCAAUAAUAUGAGGCUUGGUAUGGAUGUGCAAUGUGUCUGAAACACGGAGAACUGUAGUAGCAGUUCGCAACUCAAAGGCUGGAUGAAAAUAGCUGUCAGAUACAUAAUUAGAAAUUGAUGCAGAUAUAAGGUGAGAUUUUCUGUCUAUUAGAUCAUUGUAGGAUUUAUUUUUUUAAAUUGACCUCUGUUUUCAGAUGUCAUGUUUUGAAGUCUUCUAGAACAAACUUAGGACUCAUCUCAUGCUAACAUUGUUAGCUUUCGCAUUUCGGGAAACCUGUGCAUUUUUCAUUUGUGCUGGUGGAUGGAUUUUAACUCCUUGCUGUGAUCCCUAUUAGUGGGGAGGCAAAAUAACAUGGGAAAAGUGUAGAUUCUGAUGUGAUUCUGUGAUGAAUACUUCUGCUGAUACAGAGUCUUUCCCUCUUAGAACAAGCUUUUUAAUACCCAUUCUGCCUUCUCAAGUUUACCACAAACUCUUAAAGAAACAGAAGAAAUAUAAAGGGCAGUGUUACAAAUUAUGAAAGAUUCCUUGCUCCAUUGUGAUCAGUGAUCUCAAAGAAAAGUCACUUGAUGCUUGAAACUCAUUGAAAUAUUUGAAUAAGAUUCACAAAAUUUCGGUGCAUGUUACUGGAGUUUAGCAUGCACCUGCCUAUAGGCACUCUUACAUUUACAAAUUGCCGCCAACAGUAAAUGCACAGGUGUCUUGCUGUCCAUUGCAAUUCAUCAUCAGGCAUACUCCACUUCUGUCUGAGGUCUGAGGGAGAAUAGUGCCAGGUUGAAGUGUUAGCAGGGAGGGGAGGCAGGAGGCCGGUGUGAUACUAUUGUCGUGAAACCAGUGCUGCAGUUUUAUCAUGGCAUAACAUUAAUCUCUCUGAAUCAAACAUUGUCCCUUAUUUUUGUAUAUCUCCUUGAUCUGGCCUGGGCUUGAGCUGCAGCAAAUGAAACCAACACAAUCUAACAUUUGGAGAUGUCACAUGCAAGAAAACACUUGUGCAAACUGAGCCAGCUACUCAAAGGGAAAAGAGACCAUGGAGGCAGGUUCGUUUUGUAGCUUUCCCUCUCCCCCAUGCAGCAAUUAAAUUCUCGUCUUCAUGGUGAGCAAUUGAAAGGUUUCUCGAUAAAAAUCCUCAAGGGUAUAUAAAUGAGAGAAGAUUUGUGAAAUCUAACUGGAACAAAAAUAUCUUUGAGGAACUGACCCAGCAUAACUUGACCUGGAUUAAUUAGAUCAUAAAUAAUUUAAAUAUUAGUUAGAUCAUGCUUCUGAUUAUGAUUGUAACGUUGUCGUUUUUUUAAAAAAACUUGCUAAUAGUGGAAUGAUUCAUAAUUCAAGCACUUCCUGGUGUAAAUACUCAAACAGACAUUAAAAAUGUAUAAAUUUACAACCCUCAUAAUAUUCCUUUGCCAAACUCUUGAUGUUUUAUUUUGUGGUGAUUUAACUUGAAACUGCUUUUGUGAAUUCUGCAGCAUGUGACUGCAGCUCCUUCCAUGCUGGGUACAGGUUGAACUUCAGGCCCCUUGUUUAGUUCUUGUCAUAUUUGAGAAUGUUUGUAAAAUAUCAGAGAUGAACAGAUUUAAUUUGUAUCCUGUGUGAAACAGCUAAAGGAGAAACAAACAAUAUGUGUGUUGUGUAUUCUUAGGGGAAAUCCCUCCCUUUGCCUUUUGAUUACCCAGACCCACUAGAAAACAGUUGCCAGUUCAAGUUUGGGAAUUAUUGUUCCCAGAGUGCAGGGCUUCAUUGAAAAGUUAAUACAAAUUCUUCUUUGGUACAAAGAAUUUUGCUCCAAAAUUGUAAUUGUAAAGCUUUGUUUAAAGUGAAAAUUUACAAUAUUUGGACAUCUGACUUAAAAAAAAUCCCUCAAAGCUGGAGCCUUUUCUUGGAUACUUAGGAAAGAAUUACAUUAUAUUUAAUGAAUAUUGGUUGUAAUAUUUAUUAAUGUUGUGAAAUGUUUUUUAAAUGAAUAAUGUUUGUUUUCCACAUGAUUUCCUAGAUUAAAUAUUAUUUGAAAUAUCAAAA